GUCCAGUUCUGAUGUUGCAGUCCAAAUAGCGAACAGUGGCCCUCAUGCACACACACAUGGUAAUGGUGAAAAUAUGCAGUACAGUUCUUUAUAAGUAUCGAACAUAGCAAGUUUGAAAGAGCAGCAAGAGGUUGACAGCAAAGGGUAACCAACAGCAUUUUUUAAUUAAGCUAUCAUCACAUCAAAAGGCCUUCUGGAUCAAAACUCAGUGUAUGUAUAAACUGGCAAUAUCUCCUUCUCAAGCAAUUAGGGAGAAAAUAAGCAGACAUUACUAGCCCUGCCACCAGCAGUGUGUUUUCUGAAGUGCUGGUUUACAAUUCGGAGUUUGAA